UACGGGGGGGGCAAGCGUUGUUCGGAAUUACUGGGCGUAAAGGGCUCGUAGGUGGCCAACUAAGUCAGACGUGAAAUCCCUCGGCUUAACCGGGGAACUGCAUCUGAUACUGGAUGGCUUGAGAUUGGGAGAGGGAUGCGGAAUUCCAGGUGUAGCGGUGAAAUGCGUAGAUAUCUGGAGGAACACCGGUGGCGAAGGCGGCAUCCUGGACCAACACUGACGCUGAGGAGCGAAAGCUAGGGGAGCAAACAGG
rnacentral:rRNA from 1 species